UACGAAGGGGGCUAGCGUUGCUCGGAAUCACUGGGCGUAAAGGGCGCGUAGGCGGACUCUUAAGUCGGGGGUGAAAGCCCAGGGCUCAACCCUGGAAUUGCCUUCGAUACUGAGAGUCUUGAGUUCGGAAGAGGUUGGUGGAACUGCGAGUGUAGAGGUGAAAUUCGUAGAUAUUCGCAAGAACACCAGUGGCGAAGGCGGCCAACUGGUCCGAUACUGACGCUGAGGCGCGAAAGCGUGGGGAGCGAACAGG
rnacentral:rRNA from 1 species